CCCCUCUAUUUCUCUGCAAAUUCUUUUGCAUGAGAACUUAUUUUAUACACAAAUAUAGACACAUACACAUGCAUAAGGAGAUACAGAUUUACACACAAAUACUGACAUACAGACACACACACUGACGUACAUGCAUACUCACAUACUGACACACAUACAUACAGACAUACAUACAAACAGAUAUGCAUACAUACAGACACACACACACACACACACACAGAGAUACAUACAGACUUACUGAUAUACACACACACACAUACUGACAUACACACAAACAUACAUGCAUACUGACUUACAUACACACAUACAUACUGAUAGAUAUAUACAUACACACACACAGACGUACAUACACACAUAUACACAGACAUACAUGCAUACUGACAUACAUACUGAUAGAUAUAUACAUACACAGAGACAUGCAUACUGACAUACGUACACACAGAC